rnacentral:pre_miRNA from 1 species
AGGAGGAACAGCCCCAGUGGCGGGGCCAGCUCUGGAAACCUGGAUUCAGCUCCGGCAGGAACUCCGUCUGCAGGGCCUGGAGGCUCCCGGGCGGG